UGAGUAACCUGCCCUUAACUCUGGGAUAAGCCUGGGAAACUGGGUCUAAUACCGGAUAUGACUCCUCAUCGCAUGGUGGGGGGUGGAAAGCUUUUUUGUGGUUUUGGAUGGACUCGCGGCCUAUCAGCUUGUUGGUGAGGUAAUGGCUCACCAAGGCGACGACGGGUAGCCGGCUUGAGAGGGUGACCGGCCACACUGGGACUGAGACACGGCCCAGACCUCCGUACGGGAGGCAG
rnacentral:rRNA from 1 species